CCAAGGGAUAUUGUUGUCUUGAAGCCCAGUAACUUUACUAGGAUAUGUCUGAGUUCAUUUCCCCUUGAAUAUUAUGUGGACUUUCUUAUGUGGAUACAAACUUAUUUUAUUUCAGAUAAGAAGAUUCUAUGUAGAUGCAAGGAUCUUCACAACAUGAGGAGAAGCCUGAUGUGAGAAGCUGGUUAUAAGAAGGAGAUUUAUUCCACAAAAGAACAGACCUCAUAGCCAUCUUUUCACCUCUCCCAGCUGUAUCAUUUUCAUAUAUUCUUCCGGCUGAAAGUUUGGAUAAAUUCAGGGAAGUCUAGUGAAGAAAAUUUAAAAUCAUCAAGGUUUCAGCAUGUACUCUAUGUCCCCACAAAUUUGGAAGUGGAUUUUGUGAUUGAGCCUGUGAGACAUUGUGGUGAGGAUGUGAAAGAGAAAGUGGAGCAUCCAUCAAGGCAAAUAUAUACUUGCCCACAUAUAUGUGACAUUUGUAUAAAAUUGCUUGUUGCAAUAUACAUACAAUGGAAUUCUAUGUUGGAAUGAAAAGAUCUCGAAGACAUAUUAAGAGAAAAAAGCAAGAUGCAUAAAAUGUACAAGAUUUCCCUGGUUGGAGAAAGACACUCAAACUGCUCAGUGGCUGCCCUGCAAGUUGACGACCACUCGCCUAGAGGGACGCUUGAUUCACUGGGAGUCCACUAGUCCUUUCAUCCUCCUGAUCGCCUCUUCAACUGUUUCCCAUAUCCUACAAUCUAUCUUUUCUCCAACUUCCCAGACUGUCUCCCCAUGCCCACUCUCAGCUGAUUCCUUGCUUACCACUUCAAUAAAAACAUAGAAGUGCUCAGAAAAGAACCUCUGCCAAUUCCCCCUCAGCACAUCUGUGCCCACAUCCGCUGACUUCCUUCCUGUUACUAUAUGUGGUGAUUUAAAUAUAUAUCCACAAAUUCUUUGACAUUUAAAGAAUUUUCAGAAAGUAGAAUCUAAAUUCCCUCCCCUUGACUAGGACUUACUGACUCAUUUCUAAUAAACAGAAUGUGGAGACACUGAGGGUAUGCGACUUCCAAGCUAGAUUAUAAAAUCCUUAAGGCUUCUGCGUGUCCUUGCUUGGAUCACUGUCAUGUUGUGAGUACACUCGAGCAACCCUAUGGGAAGGUCCAUCUGGUGAAGAACUGAGGCUUCCUGUCAACAGCCAACAUGAACUUGCCAGUCAUGUGAAUGAAUCAUCUUGGAAGUAGUCUUCAGCCCCCAGUCAAACCUUCCUAUGACUACAGCCUUGGUCAACACCUUGACUACAACCUCAUGAGGCACCUUGAGCCAAAACCACCCAGCCUAGGUACUGUUAAGUUCCUAACCUAAGGAAAUUGUGUGAGAUAAUAAAUGUGGGUUUUCAUGCUGUCUUAAGCCAUUGAAUUUUGGGACAAUUUUUUACACAGCAAAAGAUAACUGACAAACUAUGAAUGAACUCUCCAU